rnacentral:rRNA from 1 species
GAAUUCGCCCUUAGAGUUUGAUCCUGGCUCAGGACGAACGCUGGCGGCGCGCCUAACACAUGCAAGUCGAACGGUGAAGAGGAGCUUGCUCCUCGGAUCAGUGGCGGACGGGUGAGUAACACGUGAGCAACCUGCCUUUCAGUGGGGGACAACAGUUGGAAACGACUGCUAAUACCGCAUAACGUGCCGGAGGGGCAUCCUUUUGGUACCAAAGAUUUAUCGCUGGAAGAUGGGCUCGCGUCUGAUUAGAUAGUUGGUGAGGUAACGGCUCACCAAGUCGACGAUCAGUAGCCGGACUGAGAGGUUGAUCGGCCACAUUGGGACUGAGACACGGCCCAGACUCCUACGGGAGGCAGCAGUGGGGAAUAUUGGACAAUGGGGGAAACCCUUGUCCAGCGACGCCGCGUGAGGGAAGAAGGUUUUCGGAUUGUAAACCUCUGUCAGUGGGGACGAUAAUGACGGUACCCACGGAGGAAGCCACGGCUAACUACGUGCCAGCAGCCGCGGUAAUACGUAGGUGGCAAGCGUUGUCCGGAAUUACUGGGUGUAAAGGGAGCGUAGGCGGGAUGUCAAGUCAGAAGUGAAAAUUAUGGGCUCAACUCAUAACCUGCUUUUGAAACUGAUAUUCUUGAGUGAAGUAGAGGCAAGCGGAAUUCCUAGUGUAGCGGUGAAAUGCGUAGAUAUUAGGAGGAACACCAGUGGCGAAGGCGGCUUGCUGGGCUUUUACUGACGCUGAGGCUCGAAAGCGUGGGGAGCAAACAGGAUUAGAUACCCUGGUAGUCCAUGCUGUAAACGAUGAUUACUAGGUGUGGGGGGAUUGAACCCUUCCGUGCCGGAGUUAACACAAUAAGUAAUCCACCUGGGGAGUACGACCGCAAGGUUGAAACUCAAAGGAAUUGACGGGGGCCCGCACAAGCAGUGGAGUAUGUGGAUUAAUUCGAUGCAACGCGAAGAACCUUACCAGGUCUUGACAUCAAGUGCAAGUCCCAGAGAUGGGAUCCUCUCUUCGGAGGCACGAAGACAGGUGGUGCAUGGUUGUCGUCAGCUCGUGUCGUGAGGUGUCGGGUUAAGUCCCAUAACGAGCGCAACCCCUACCGUUAGUUGCCAUCAGGUCAAGCUGGGCACUCUGGCGGGACUGCCGGUGUAAGCCGAGAGGAAGGUGGGGAUGACGUCAAAUCAGCACGGCCCUUACGUCCGGGGCUACACACGUGUUACAAUGGCAGGUACAGAGGGCAGCUACCCAGCGAUGGGAUGCGAAUCUCGAAAGCCUGUCUCAGUUCGGAUUGGAGGCUGAAACCCGCCUCCAUGAAGUUGGAUUCGCUAGUAAUCGCGCAUCAGCCAUGGCGCGGUGAAUACGCACCCGGGCCUUGCACACACCGCCCGUCA